rnacentral:rRNA from 1 species
GCAGUCGAGCGGGGAAAGGUAGCUUGCUACUUUACCUCAGCGGCGGACGGGUGAGUAAUGCUUCAGGAAUCUGCCUAUUAGUUGGGGGACAACAUUCUCGAAAGGGAUGCUAAUACCGCAUACGUCCUACGGGAGAAAGCAGGGGACCUUCGGGCCUUGCGCUAAUAGAUGAGCCUAAGUCGGAUUAGCUAGUUGGUGGGGUAAAGGCCUACCAAGGCGACGAUCUGUAGCGGGUCUGAGAGGAUGAUCCGCCACACUGGGACUGAGACACGGCCCAGACUCCUACGGGAGGCAGCAGUGGGGAAUAUUGGACAAUGGGGGGAACCCUGAUCCAGCCAUGCCGCGUGUGUGAAGAAGGCCUUUUGGUUGUAAAGCACUUUAAGCGAGGAGGAGGCUACCGAGAUUAAUACUCUUGGAUAGUGGACGUUACUCGCAGAAUAAGCACCGGCUAACUCUGUGCCAGCAGCCGCGGUAAUACA